rnacentral:tRNA from 1 species
GAGCCUGUAGCUCAGUUGGUAGAGCACGAGACUUUUAAUCUUGGGGUCGUGGGUUCGAGUCCCACCGGGCUCACCA